GCGGCGUUACCUGCGCCUGCAACGGGCACAGCGACUGCGCCGGGCCGCAUGCAACAGACACCUGUCUGCAGUGCCACAACAACACCCAGGUGAGUGCCAGGUGUGCCCAGGUGAGUGCCAGGUGUGUUACCUGGGUGGGCACAGCGACUGCGCCGGGCCGCAUGCAACAGACACCUGUCUGCAGUGCCACAACAACACCCAGGUGAGUGCCAGGUGUGCCCUGGUGUGUUACCUGGGUGCCAGGUGUGUUACCUGGGUGCCAGGUGAGUGCCAGGUGGGGUUACCUGGGUGCCAGGUGAGUGCCAAGUGUGUUACCUGGGUGCCAGGUGUGUUACCUGGGUGGGCACAGCGACUGCGCCGGGCCCCGCGCCACCGACACCUGUCUGCAGUGCCACAACAACACCCAGGUGAGUGUUACCUGGGCACAGGUGAGUGCCAGGUGUGUUACCUGGGUGGGGUUACCUGGGUGCCAGGUGGGGUUACCUGGGUGGGCACAGCGACUGCGCCGGGCCACAUGCAACAGACACCUGUCUGCAGUGCCACAACAACACUCAGGUGAGUGUUACCUGGGCACAGGUGAGUGCCAGGUGUGUUACCUGGGUGCCAGGUGGGGGUUACCUGGGUGCCAGGUGUGUUACCUGGUGUGUUACCUGGGUGCCAGGUGUGUUACCUGGGUGCCAGGGGGGUUACCUGGGUGCCAGGUGUGUUACCUGGGUGCCAGGUGUGUUACCUGGGUGCCAGGUGUGUGCCAGGUGUGUUACCUGGGUGCCAGGUGGGGUUACCUGGGUGCCAGGUGUGUUACCUGGGUGCCAGGUGAGUGUUACCUGGGUGCCAGGUUUGUUACCUGGGUGCCAGGUGGGUUACCUGGGCACAGGUGA
rnacentral:lncRNA from 1 species